GGGGUAGUUUGGAUUGGAGUUGAACCUGGCUGGAAGAAGUCUGGAAGGGAUUCAGAGAACAGCUGAUAGUCGUAGAAAGUCGGCUGGCGGCGGAGCUCAGUGAGCACUUAGGGCAGCUUAAUAGAUGACUGGGGGAACUCAUGUUGAAGGAGCUCGGGUGGUGCAGUGGGAGUUUGUCCGUCGGGGGAAUUCAGUCAGCACUGUGGAAAUCUGGCUGUUGGAGAAGUCCGGAGAGAUACCAUCUGCGGUCGAAAGUCGGAGAAGUCCUGGGAGGGUCAAUCCUGUCAAGAACUUCGGCUGAGGGUAUUUUAUAUCCAACACCAGUCCCCCUAUUUUCGAGUUCGAAUUUUGAAUGAAGAAAGUACAGAGAGAUUGUCACAACCGAAGUUGCUCCCUUGAUGUCCGCGCAUAAUUGUCCUCAGAUAUUUUGGCAU
rnacentral:lncRNA from 1 species